UGGGGAAUUUUGGACAAUGGGCGAAAGCCUGAUCCAGCAAUGCCGCGUGUGUGAAGAAGGCCUUCGGGUUGUAAAGCACUUUUGUCCGGAAAGAAAUCCUUGGCUCUAAUACAGUCGGGGGAUGACGGUACCGGAAGAAUAAGCACCGGCUAACUACGUGCCAGCAGCCGCGGUAAUACGUAGGGUGCAAGCGUUAAUCGGAAUUACUGGGCGUAAAGCGUGCGCAGGCGGUUUGCUAAGACCGAUGUGAAAUCCCCGGGCUCAACCUGGGAACUGCAUUGGUGACUGGCAGGCUAGAGUAUGGCAGAGGGGGGUAGAAUUCCACGUGUAGCAGUGAAAUGCGUAGAGAUGUGGAGGAAUACCGAUGGCGAAGGCAGCCCCCUGGGGCCAAUACUGACGCUCAUGCACGAAAGCGUGGGGAGCAAACAGGAUUAGAUACCCUGGUAGUCCACGCCCUAAACGAUGUCAACUAGUUGUUGGGGAUUCAUUUCCUAGUAACGUAGCUAACGCGUGAAGUUGACCGCCUGGGGAGUACGGUCGCAAGAUUAAAACUCAAAGGAAUUGACGGGGUCAUAGCUGUUUCCU
rnacentral:rRNA from 1 species